UCACAGUGGAUGUUUUAAAAAGUGAGUGGC
rnacentral:piRNA from 1 species